UACGGAGGGUGCGAGCGUUGUCCGGAAUCAUUGGGCGUAAAGGGCGCGUAGGUGGCGGGACAAGCGUGCGGUGAAAGCUCGGGGCUCAACCCCGAGUCGGCCGUGCGAACUGUUUUGCUGGAGCACUGUAGAGGCAGGCGGAAUUCCGGGUGUAGCGGUGGAAUGCGUAGAGAUCCGGAAGAACACCGGUGGCGAAGGCGGUCUGCUGGGCAGUUGCUGACACUGAGGCGCGACAGCGUGGGGAGCAAACAGG
rnacentral:rRNA from 1 species